AGGAAGGAAGGAAGGAAGGAAGGAAGGAAGGAAGGGAAGGAAAGGAGAAAUACAGUGUGACGUGUUGGGGGCUAGGGGUGGACCCCCACCACCAGUCCAGGUUGCCUGGUUAAGGACACGGAGAUCAAAUCCCUGGAGAAGAUCAACUUGUUCUUCCUGCUCAUCAAGGACUCUGAGGUUUUGGACUUUUUCCAGGUUUCGUCCCUUAAGGAGUUUCUAAGGAUCAUACCACUGCAGAAGUAGACUUGGAUUGGCCGUUGGAGCAGAUUCAAGGCUUUUGAUCCUAUAGAGAACUACAAAAGUCAUAUUGUUCUGAGUAUAAGUGCUCCAAGGAGCUAGCCACUGCCCUUCUACAGCCUGUUAUCUUGCCAACCUUUCCAUUGUAGAGAAGCAACUUAGGGAACAAGAUUGGCCAACUCCAUGGUGUCCCAUGCAAAGGUGACAGGCUGCUGUGGCUCUGUGCUUGUGUGUCACGUGCCUGCUCUCAGAGGUAAGGCAUGGGCAUUGCCACUUCCCCCAUGCCCAAGCUACUACUGCUGGCUGGUGUCAAUGACAGCCACACAUCAGCCAGGAAUACAGGCCUACCCUGGGCAACUUCACCAAGGCCACCUUUGAUGCAACUCCAAGACCUACAGCUGUCUGACCCCUGGUCUCUGGGUCCUCUGGGAAAAGACUCUGUUCACUAAAUCUUCCUAUUAGGAAAGAGCCAAUCAUGACGUGAAAACCCACACCAGAGCCUCUGGGCAGAGGACCCAGGCUCCAUCUUUGGCUACCACGUAG
rnacentral:lncRNA from 1 species